GAUGAACGCUGGCGGCGUGCCUAAUACAUGCAAGUCGAGCGAACAGACGAGGAGCUUGCUCCUCUGACGUUAGCGGCGGACGGGUGAGUAACACGUGGAUAACCUACCUAUAAGACUGGGAUAACUUCGGGAAACCGGAGCUAAUACCGGAUAAUAUAUUGAACCGCAUGGUUCAAUAGUGAAAGACGGUUUUGCUGUCACUUAUAGAUGGAUCCGCGCCGCAUUAGCUAGUUGGUAAGGUAACGGCUUACCAAGGCAACGAUGCGUAGCCGACCUGAGAGGGGGAUCGGCCACACUGGAACUGAGACACGGUCCAGACUCCUACGGGAGGCAGCAGUAGGGAAUCUUCCGCAAUGGGCGAAAGCCUGACGGAGCAACGCCGCGUGAGUGAUGAAGGUCUUCGGAUCGUAAAACUCUGUUAUUAGGGAAGAACAAAUGUGUAAGUAACUAUGCACGUCCUGACGGUACCUAAUCAGAAAGCCACGGCUAACUACGUG
rnacentral:rRNA from 1 species